rnacentral:rRNA from 1 species
GUCUGAAUAGGGCGUUUAGUAUUUGGUCGUAGACCCGAAACCAGGUGAUCUACCCUUGGUCAGGUUGAAGUUCAGGUAACACUGAAUGGAGGACCGAACCGACUUACGUUGAAAAGUGAGCGGAUGAACUGAGGGUAGCGGAGAAAUUCCAAUCGAACCUGGAGAUAGCUGGUUCUCUCCGAAAUAGCUUUAGGGCUAGCCUCAAGUGAUGAUUAUUGGAGGUAGAGCACUGUUUGGACGAGGGGCCCCUCUCGGGUUACCGAAUUCAGACAAACUCCGAAUGCCAAUUAAUUUAACUUGGGAGUCAGAACAUGGGUGAUAAGGUCCGUGUUCGAAAGGGAAACAGCCCAGACCACCAGCUAAGGUCCCAAAAUAUAUGUUAAGUGGAAAAGGAUGUGGCGUUGCCCAGACAACUAGGAUGUUGGCUUAGAAGCAGCCAUCAUUUAAAGAGUGCGUAAUAGCUCACUAGUCGAGUGACACUGCGCCGAAAAUGUACCGGGGCUAAACAUAUUACCGAAGCUGUGGAUUGUCCUUUGGACAAUGGUAGGAGAGCGUUCUAAGGGCGUUGAAGCAUGAUCGUAAGGACAUGUGGAGCGCUUAGAAGUGAGAAUGCCGGUGUGAGUAGCGAAAGACGGGUGAGAAUCCCGUCCACCGAUUGACUAAGGUUUCCAGAGGAAGGCUCGUCCGCUCUGGGUUAGUCGGGUCCUAAGCUGAGGCCGACAGGCGUAGGCGAUGGAUAACAGGUUGAUAUUCCUGUACCACCUAUAAUCGUUUUAAUCGAUGGGGGGACGCAGUAGGAUAGGCGAAGCGUGCGAUUGGAUUGCACGUCUAAGCAGUAAGGCUGAGUAUUAGGCAAAUCCGGUACUCGUUAAGGCUGAGCUGUGAUGGGGAGAAGACAUUGUGUCUUCGAGUCGUUGAUUUCACACUGCCGAGAAAAGCCUCUAGAUAGAAAAUAGGUGCCCGUACCGCAAACCGACACAGGUAGUCAAGAUGAGAAUUCUAAGGUGAGCGAGCGAACUCUCGUUAAGGAACUCGGCAAAAUGACCCCGUAACUUCGGGAGAAGGGGUGCUCUUUAGGGUUAACGCCCAGAAGAGCCGCAGUGAAUAGGCCCAAGCGACUGUUUAUCAAAAACACAGGUCUCUGCUAAACCGUAAGGUGAUGUAUAGGGGCUGACGCCUGCCCGGUGCUGGAAGGUUAAGAGGAGUGGUUAGCUUCUGCGAAGCUACGAAUCGAAGCCCCAGUAAACGGCGGCCGUAACUAUAACGGUCCUAAGGUAGCGAAAUUCCUUGUCGGGUAAGUUCCGACCCGCACGAAAGGCGUAACGAUUUGGGCACUGUCUCAACGAGAGACUCGGUGAAAUCAUAGUACCUGUGAAGAUGCAGGUUACCCGCGACAGGACGGAAAGACCCCGUGGAGCUUUACUGUAGCCUGAUAUUGAAAUUCGGCACAGCUUGUACAGGAUAGGUAGGAGCCUUUGAAACGUGAGCGCUAGCUUACGUGGAGGCGCUGGUGGG